AGAAAAGACAGUCUUCUUUUCUUUAGCAGUUAAUGUUGCUGUGCCCACAGUUCGUGAUAAUAGUGAAAGAUAAGUAAGUACUGAAGCAGCUGCUACCCGACAGAGCUCCUUAAUGCCAUUUGCAAGUCAAAUUGACUUUAUAGGCUGGAAAGAGGACAAAGGAGCAUUUUCGUCUUCAGGAUGUUAUAUUGCUGAUGUGCUCUUGGAGCCGUCAGUAUCAGUUCCACAGUAAAACAUUUGCUCCUGUCGUUAUUUUAUCAAUGCAAACGUGGUCAUUUGUACUCAGUGUAAACCACAGCAGUAAGACAGGAAGCAAAUCAGAGACAUCAAUGUGUAUUCAUACACUUCCUCUCAUAAUACCCUUUGUGUGCUGUCUAUUCUUUGCUCUGCUGACUAUAUACGAUAUUUUGAAACAGAAGACACAACCAUGCAUUUCACAAUAACUACUGGAGCUACUGCAAAGUUGGAACCCAAUUCCAGAUGUUCUCAGUCAUCCAGGUCAUGGUUGUCUAAGAAGCAUGGAGACACUUCAACCACCUGGAAAUACCCAGCCUGCAGAAGGAGACGUCGUUCAGGUUGUAGGACUUGGUGGUUAUAGGGUAAAUGCCAGCAGCCACCCAC